UAUAUUUGCAGCCGAAUUGCUACCAUACAAUUCAUACAUAAUAAUCAUUUAAAUAAUAUUGGCAUG
rfam:Flavobacterium sp. 316 scaffold_1, whole genome shotgun sequence.